rnacentral:rRNA from 1 species
UACGAAGGGGGCUAGCGUUGUUCGGAAUUACUGGGCUUAAAGCGUGUGUAGGUGGAUUUGUAAGUACCUUGUGAAAUCCCAUGGCUCAACCAUGGAACUGCUCGGUAUACUGCGAAUCUUGAGCCACUUAGGGGCUACCGGAACAAAUGGUGGAGCGGUGAAAUGCGCAGAUAUCAGGAGGAACACCAGUAGCGAAGGCGGCACUCUGGGCCGUGACUGACGCUGAGGAGCGAAAGCGUGGGUAGCAAACAGG